AUGAACAUGCAUUGACACAAAAAUGUAGUAAUUACACCAUAAAUGCAUAUAAUUAAAGUCUGCUGUCUUUCACAGUCAACAUAGGCUAUAGACUUGUUCGGUAGGUCUAAAGGAAAA